rnacentral:rRNA from 1 species
UGACUAUACAAAGGUAUUGUAAUAAGAUUUUAAUUGAAUGCUAAAAGAAUGGAAAUUUAAAAAAAAACUUUUUUAAAAAUAAAAAUUGAAUUUUUUUUAAUUUGUGCAAAAACAAUUAUACUUAUUAAAGACAAGAAGACCCUAAGAAUUUAAGAUUUUACAAUUAAAAAGUUUUUUUUUAAAAUCUUGAUUGGGGCGAUCAAAAAAUAUUAAUAACUUUUUAAAAUUUAAAUUGAUCUAUUAUUAAUAAACUAAUGAAUUAAAUACUCUAGGGAUAACAGCGUAAUAAUUUUUGAUAGAUCUUAUUGACAAAAUAGUUUGCGACCUCGAUGUUGGAUUAGGAUUCUUUUUUAAUGAAGAAGUUAAAAAAAGAAGUUUGUUCAACUUUUAAAUUCCUACUUGAUCUGA